ACCGGGCACCGUGGCACAUGCCUGUAAUCCCAGCGGCUCGGGAGGUUGAGGCAGGAGGAUCAUGAGUUCAAAGCUAACCUCAGCAAUUUAGUGAGAUCCUGUCUCUA
rnacentral:sRNA from 1 species